AGCAGCAGCCGCGGGAAUACGUAGGUGGCAAGCGUUGUCCGGAAUUAUUGGGCGUAAAGCGUGCGCAGGCGGUUCUAUAAGACAGAUGUGAAAUCCCCGGGCUCAACCUGGGAACUGCAUUUGUGACUGUAGAGCUGGAGUGCGGCAGAGGGGGAUGGAAUUCCGCGUGUAGCAGUGAAAUGCGUAGAUAUGCGGAGGAACACCGAUGGCGAAGGCAAUCCCCUGGGCCUGCACUGACGCUCAUGCACGAAAGCGUGGGGAGCAAACAGGAUUAGAUACCCGCGUAGUCCCUGUCUCUUAUAC
rnacentral:rRNA from 1 species